rnacentral:lncRNA from 1 species
AUGCCGAAUUUCAUGACGAGAGAAUGGUGGUUCACACCCGUCCUUGUAUUUUGUUGGCCUGACCCUGCGGGUAAAAAUUUGCCAAAAGCGUGUCGUGUUGUUUUAAGAAAUACUCUCAUGAAAGAACGCAUGAGCAUGUUACUGCUGCUGCUACUGGCUAAGUUGCUUCAGUCGUGUUUGACUCUGCGACCCCAUAGACGGCAGCCAACCAGGCUCCCCCGUCCCUGGGAUUCUCCAGGCAAGAACACUGGAGUGGGUUGCCAUUUCCUUCUCCAAUGCAUGAAAGUAGAAAGUGAAAGUGAAGUCGCUCAGUCGUGUCCAACUCUUCUCGACUCCAUGGACUGCAGCCUACCAGGCUCCUCCAUCCAUGGGAUUUUCCAGGCAAGAGUACUGGAGUGGGGUGCCAUUGCCUUCUCCAAGCAUGUUACUAGUGUGUUCAAAUUAUUGCUGUUAUCAUGCAAAACCUAUCUAAAGCUGCUGUUACCAACUAAUGUGUUAAAAGAUGACCAUAUUUGCUCAGAGUUGGACACACUCAAUGCACAAUGUCAGAACAUUGUGUUUGAGGUUGAAAUAAGUGGAAGGACUGUUGCAGAUGUUGUUAAUGCACAGCUUUGUAUAGCAUUGAUUGUUUAAUCUGUACACAGGUUAACAGCCAACAAAGGAUACAUUUACCUCUAGACUCACAAUGAGCUUUUAAGUGUUUGCUUCAAAAUAACUUAGAUCUCCAUUAUGUUUCAGUGUAUUUGAAAAUCAGGUUUCUUUGUAAUAAUCGUAAUUACCACUUACCACCUGAAAGUUUGGCUUGGAAUGCACAACAGGAAAUUUGAAUUCCCACUGGUGUGGUCUCUUGUAUGUCCUAUUCUUUGUGGGUUUUGAAGCUUUAAACACAUUCUUUUGGGGAAAAAAAUUGUUAUAUUUCUAGCAUUUCACAGACGUUAAAAGCUUAAGCUAACAGUGACCUAGUGACAGGCACGAUUUGACAACAUCGUUAACAUUUCAUGAAAAGCCCAAUUGCGACCUAUGUAUCAGAGGUGAUGAAGGUUUCAGGAAGGGGAGCAGAUGGCAGGUGGCCCUGAAGGACAUCCAUGGAAGAAACAGGCAACGUAUUUGUCACGUGUCUGAACAAUGGGAUCUGUGACGUGAUCGAAUCUAUGAAGGUUUCCCAGAACCUCAUUGUCAUGUCAACUUGAAAUGAAAAUAAACCUUUCCCUGGCAAUUAAAAAUUCUCUCCU